rnacentral:rRNA from 1 species
GGGUGCGAGCGUUAAUCGGAUUUACUGGGCGUAAAGAGCUCGUAGGCGGCUUGUCGCGUCGACUGUGAAAACCCGCAGCUUAACUGCGGGACUGCAGUCGAUACGGGCAGGCUAGAGUUCGGUAGGGGAGACUGGAAUUCCUGGUGUAGCGGUGAAAUGCGCAGAUAUCAGGAGGAACACCGGUGGCGAAGGCGGGUCUCUGGGCCGAUACUGACGCUGAGGAGCGAAAGCGUGGGGAGCGAACAG